GUGUCCAGUGCCGUUGAUUG
rnacentral:miRNA from 1 species